UGUGUAGGCGGUUGCUUAAGUUUGGUGUGAAAUCUCCCGGCUUAACUGGGAGGGUGCGCCGAAUACUGAGUGACUAGAGUGCGGGAGAGGAAAGUGGAAUUCCUGGUGUAGCGGUGAAAUGCGUAGAUAUCAGGAGGAACAUCGGUGGUGUAGACGGCUUUCUGGACCGUAACUGACGCUGAGACACGAAAGCGUGGGUAGCAAACAGGAUUAGAUACCCUGGUAGUCCACGCCCUAAACGAUGCAUAUUUGGUGUGGGUCAUUCAGUUGAUCCGUGCCAGAGCUAACGCGUUAAAUAUGCCGCCUGGGGAGUACAGUCGCAAGGCUGAA
rnacentral:rRNA from 1 species